GAAAACUGUCUCUGAAAACUGAGUGCUUGAUUGGAGAAGGUGUGGGAUCCCAAACAUGGUUUUCUGCAGAUCCUAGUGGUCCUGGAGAAGUCCUGGCUAUGACCAUGGUUGCACAUAUUAUCUAAAGGGAAUAUUGAUCAGGUGGGAUGAAGGCUGGCAGGCUGGGAUCCAGUUCCAACACACCACACAAGUGAUACCUCUCUGUGGUGAGACCAUCACAAGCUGAUCCUGGUGAAGUCAAAGUAAUUCACAUCUGAUGAGGGUAAAACAUGCUGUACAAUGCUAGGAAAUAAGGAAGUAUUUUCAGCUAUCAUCCAUGAAAUAAUCAGGAUCUGCAGCCAGAGGGAAGCAAACCUGUUGAAAUCUUCAAGGUGCAGGAUGGAAAAGCUUUCUGAGAUGUUUUCUUUUUCACUUCAAUUUAAAAGAAGAUGCUAAGGACAUCAAGGACCUAAAUGUCAUUAUUUGGGUUUGGAGAGAACUUGAAAUCGUCUGUACAAAGGAACAAGAAGUGUUCUUAGAUAUGUGAGCUGGAGGAAUUCAGUAGGAAAUCUUCCCUGACCAGACAAAAUGACCACAUUCUCAGCUUUAAUUAUCACUGUUGAUUUGAGACGAAGAUGGAAAUAAUAAUGAAUUCUAUACCUUCAGUGGUAAGUCACAGACUACCUCCGAGAUGAUGUGGUUUGAAUUAGAUAGGUGUGACUUUGCUUGGCAGGAGUG
rnacentral:lncRNA from 1 species